UGGAGAGUUUGAUCCUGGCUCAGGACGAACGCUGGCGGCGUGCUUAACACAUGCAAGUCGAGCGGUAAGGCCCUUCGGGGUACACGAGCGGCGAACGGGUGAGUAACACGUGGGUGAUCUGCCUCGCACUCUGGGAUAAGCCUGGGAAACUGGGUCUAAUACCGGAUAUGACCAAGAGCUGCAUGGUUUUUGGUGGAAAGGUUUACUGGUGCGAGAUGGGCCCGCGGCCUAUCAGCUUGUUGGUGGGGUAACGGCCUACCAAGGCGACGACGGGUAGCCGACCUGAGAGGGUGAUCGGCCACACUGGGACUGAGACACGGCCCAGACUCCUACGGGAGGCAGCAGUGGGGAAUAUUGCACAAUGGGCGGAAGCCUGAUGCAGCGACGCCGCGUGAGGGAUGACGGCCUUCGGGUUGUAAACCUCUUUCGACAGGGACGAAGCGCAAGUGACGGUACCUGUAGAAGAAGCACCGGCCAACUACGUGCCAGCAGCCGCGGUA
rnacentral:rRNA from 1 species